UACGGGGGGGGCAAGCGUUGUUCGGAAUUACUGGGCGUAAAGGGCUCGUAGGUGGCCAACUAAGUCAGACGUGAAAUCCCUCGGCUUAACCGGGGAACUGCGUCUGAUACUGGAUGGCUUGAGUUCGGGAGAGGGAUGCGGAAUUCCAGGUGUAGCGGUGAAAUGCGUAGAUAUCUGGAGGAACACCGGUGGCGAAGGCGGCAUCCUGGACCGACACUGAACACUGAGGAGCGAAAGCCAGGGGAGCAAACGGG
rnacentral:rRNA from 1 species